rnacentral:rRNA from 1 species
AGGACGAACGCUGGCGGCGUGCUUAACACAUGCAAGUCGAGCGAGGCCCCUCCUUCGGGAGGGUGUCCUAGCGGCGAACGGGUGAGUAACACGUGGGCAACCUGCCCUCAGCUCUGGGAUAACUCCGGGAAACCGGGGCUAAUACCGGAUACGACCUCCACGGGCAUCUGCGGAGGUGGAAAGUUUUUCGGCUGAGGAUGGGCCCGCGGCCUAUCAGCUAGUUGGUGGGGUGAUAGCCCACCAAGGCGACGACGGGUAGCCGGCCUGAGAGGGCGACCGGGCCAACGACUGGGACUGAGACACGGCCCAGACUCCUACGGGAGGCAGCAGUGGGGAAUAUUGCGCAAUGGGCGAAAGCCUGACGCAGCGACGCCGCGUGAGGGACGAAGGCCUUCGGGUUGUAAACCUCUUUCAGCAGGGACGAAGCGAAAGUGACGGUACCUGCAGAAGAAGCACCGGCCAACUACGUGCCAGCAGCCGC